rnacentral:rRNA from 1 species
GACGAACGCUGGCGGCGUGCUUAACACAUGCAAGUCGAACGGUGAAUCGCCUUCCUUUUUGGAGGGUGUGGAUGAGUGGCGAACGGGUGAGUAACACGUCAGUAACCUGCCCCCUUCUUCUGGAUAACCGCAUGAAAGUGUGGCUAAUACGGGAUAUUCUGGGUCUGUCGCAUGAUGGGUCUGGGAAAGAUAUUGGUUCGGUGGGGGAUGGGCUCGCGGCCUAUCAGCUUGUUGGUGGGGUGAUGGCCUACCAAGGCGGUGACGGGUAGCCGGCCUGAGAGGGUGGACGGUCACACUGGGACUGAGACACGGCCCCGACUACUACGGGAGGCAGCAGUGGGGAAUAUUGCAGAAUGCGAGCAAGGCUGAUGCAGCGACGCCGCGUGAGGGAUGGAGGCCUGCGGGUUGUGAACAUCUUUCGCCAGUGACGCAGGCCUGCCUCGUUUGUGGGUGGGUUGACGGUAGCUGGAUAAGAAGCGCCGGCUAACUCCGUG